UCCUACGGGAGGCAGCAGUAGGGAAUCUUCCACAAUGGACGAAAGUCUGAUGGAGCAACGCCGCGUGAGUGAAGAAGGGUUUCGGCUCGUAAAGCUCUGUUGGUAGCGAAGAAAGAUAGAGGUAGUAACUGGCCUUUAUUUGACGGUAAUUACUUAGAAAGUCACGGCUCACUCCGUGCCAGCAGCCGCGGUUAUACGUCGGUGGCAAGCGUUGUCCGGAUUUAUUGUGCGUAAAGCGCGUGCAGGCGGUU
rnacentral:rRNA from 1 species